rnacentral:rRNA from 1 species
UACGUAGGGGGCGAGCGUUGUCCGGAUUUAUUGGGCGUAAAGAGCUCGUAGGCGGUUUGGUAAGUCGGGUGUGAAAUCUCCACGCUCAACGUGGAGGGGCCACUCGAUACUGCCAUGACUCGAGUCCGGUAGAGGAGUGUGGAAUUCCCGGUGUAGCGGUGAAAUGCGCAGAUAUCGGGAGGAACACCGGUGGCGAAGGCGGCGACCUGGGUCGAGACUGACGCUGAGGCGCGAAAGCGUGGGGAGCAAACAGG